AGCUUUGCGCAGUGGCAGUAUCGUAGCCAAUGAGGUUUAUCCGAGGCGCGAUUAUUGCUAAUAGAAGUCGGCUCCGCUGAGGGACGUGGCUCCAGUGGCUAAGCGGGGGUGGAACCCUCACGGGACAAUGUGGUCUCAGGACC